GAAGUGAAAGCCCUCAGCUCAACUGAGGAAUUGCUUUGGAAACUGGAUGACUUGAGUGCAGUAGAGGAAAGUGGAACUCCAUGUGUAGCGGUGAAAUGCGUAGAUAUAUGGAAGAACACCAGUGGCGAAGGCGGCUUUCUGGACUGUAACUGACGUUGAGGCUCGAAAGUGUGGGUAGCAAACAGGAUUAGAUAC
rnacentral:rRNA from 1 species